AUUGCGUGGUUUUCUAGAAUGGGUGAACUCCUUUCUGAGUCACUGUGAGUGAUCAUGAGGUUUGCAAAAACUCAAGAACUCAUAUAGGUAUUGCAGAAUGGCUGUUUUCAUCCAAAGUACGUUUGACAUGUGUAGGCACCUACAGCUGUCUAUUUCUGCUGAGAACGUGCCAUACAUAUUUCUGCAGUUUCCUUGACUUGCUCCACGUCUCCUGACUGUACUUAGGAACCUGUUCCAGUCAGUGAUGAAGAUGUCUCUUCCUCCCAGAGUGAAGGCAAAGGAAUUACAUCUAUUAAAAACGAUCAGAGGA